AGUAGCCUACGGGGGGCAGCAGUUAGGAAUAUUCGUCAAUGGGGGAAACCCUGAACGAGCAACGCCGCGUGAAGGAAGAAGGCUUUCGGGUUGUAAACUUCUUUUCUCAGGGACGAAGCAAGUGACGGUACCUGAGGAAUAAGCCACGGCUAACUACGUGCCAGCAGCCGCGGUAAUACGUAGGUGGCAAGCGUUAUCCGGAUUUACUGGGUGUAAAGGGCGUGUAGGCGGGAAAGCAAGUCAGAUGUGAAAACCAUGGGCUCAACC
rnacentral:rRNA from 1 species